AUUUGUGUGUUUUGGUCGAUUGACUUAAGGUUACCGUUAACGACUUUUCAUUCUAGUUUAUUCACAUCAGGAGCAUUUAACUUAAAAUCAGCCUGGGCCAAUGGACAUUUGGCUCCGGUUUCAAAUAGAUGUCAUCCAUCAAAUUCACUUUUCAUGCUCCUGAUAUAACAAAAAGAUCGUUUUGGUCUGAUUUCGUUACAAAGGAAAAAAAUCAGUUGAAAAAUUAACAAUUUUAGGAUAACAUACAUAAAAAAUAUUGUGGUCGGAUUUCUUCCAAAAGGAACAAUCAACUCUAAACAAAGCUCCCACUUUACUGGGAAGGUAUCCAAAAUUAAAAUUUGUUGAUUUAAAUGUUUUUAUUCGGUAAGCUUCAACAAGAUUUUAUAUCAGAUUUCUUAUACGAUCUAAUAAGAUUGAUUUCCCGUGAAUAUGCAUUUGAGUAGAGUGUUGCCAACUUGCAGAGGCUGCAGUCAGUGUUGAAAAGUGUCCUAGAAAGCAAAGUGCCUGCACCCAGUGUUGACACAUGAUUAAGAAAACAAAGCUGUUUAAUCUUGUUAACAUCCUGCCAGUUGCUGCAGUCUUUCAAUAGUUGUUUUUGGCUAUUCAGGUAUAAGGUAAUAGGCCCAACUGUGUUUCACAAAAAAGAAAACCAAAGUUUUUCCCUGUUUAAUCAACGGGCUAAGUUUUGCCUUGGCCUGAAAGGAAAAGUGCAAAUUGUGUGGUAAUCGGAACGCGUUUGCCUAAUUAGCUGCCGCUGCUAGCAGUUGGCUGUUGUUGCCGGUCGCCAGUUGCCAGUUGCCAGUUGCGAGUUGUCAAAGGAACUUGGCCAGCGUAGCGCUCGUUAAGUCAUUAAAACUGCAUGAAGUCAAAACUUUAUGGUCUGCAAAGUUUGCAUCAAAGCAGAAACAAACCGAAAAAAGUUAGAAAAAGGAAUGAAAAAAUGCCAGGAGAUGAGAAGAAAAACCUCGGAAAAGUGGGCACCAAAUGCAGAAGAAACCGAGCAACAUCAAAGCCGCCAAAUGGUAAUUCGUUUAAAAAGGAAAGCCAAGGCCGGGGCACAGACGCAUUUCAUUUGCAGACAAUAAACUUGACAACAACAACAAGAA